rnacentral:rRNA from 1 species
UAAGACGAAGGUGACGAGCGUUGUUCGGUAUUACUGGGCUUAAAGCGUGUGUAGGCGGAAUUGUAAGCGUCAGGUGAAAUCCCCCGGCUUAACCGGGGAACUGCUUGACGAACUGCUUUUCUUGAGGCAAGUAGGGGUGCACGGAACUCUUGGUGGAGCGGUGAAAUGCGUAGAUAUCAAGAGGAACGCCGGUGGAGAAAUCGGUGCACUGGGCUUGUCCUGACGCUGAGACACGAAAGCGUGGGGAGCGAACGGGAUUAGAUACCCCGGUAGUCCACGCCGUAAACGAUGUCUACUAGGUUGUGGAAGUUCUGACACUUGCACGGCCGAAGCAAAAGUGCUAAGUAGACCGCCUGGGGAGUACGGCCGCAAGGCUA